rnacentral:other from 1 species
GAAACCCUGCUGUGUUCGCGGUCAAACUGGCUUUGUUAUGAGCCAACACCAUAACAAAGGGAUCCUGAUCUCUGGCUGUGGCAACCAGGCCUCCGCUGAGUGGACGGUUAAAACAGUUAGGAGGGAACCCACCUGCAGAGAGCAGGUUCAUUCGAGCCAGCUUCCAGCGACACGGCGGGGACGCG